rnacentral:rRNA from 1 species
UACGUAGGGGGCAAGCGUUGUCCGGAAUCAUUGGGCGUAAAGAGCGUGUAGGCGGCUCGAUAAGUCUGCUGUGAAAGUCCAGGGCUCAACCCUGGAAGGCCGGUGGAAACUGUCGGGCUAGAGUCCGGAAGAGGCGAGUGGAAUUCCCAGUGUAGCGGUGAAAUGCGCAGAUAUCGGGAGGAACACCAAUGGCGAAGGCAGCUCGCUGGGACGGUACUGACGCUGAGACGCGAAAGCGUGGGGAGCAAACAGG